GGCAAGCAGGGCGUGGUCAAGCAGGGGGUUCACAGAGGGCAAGAGAGCUGCCAUCUUGAGCAGCUGAUCAUAAGGACGUGCCACAGUUUAAUCUGAGCAGAGCUGUGACUGGUGCACAUGGCACCUGCGGAAGGCAGACGCCCAGGCCUGUGGAGUCCCAGAAGAACACUUCACCUACUGCGUACUGAGUUGUACUGGUGGGUGCUACCAGGGCUGCCAAUGGGAUGGUCAAGGCCCUACCCUCCUGGAUGGAGGGGAGAUGGCAUUAAAUGGUGCCAUGAGAAGUGCCAUCAAUUCUGCCUCCUGCAAGCCUCUUGAAUCUGUGCCCUUUAUCACCCGGGCUGCUGCUACCAGGACUCCUGCACACCCUGCCAACCAGCCUCUCCACCCUA